GUGGGUAGAGCUUAGUGGUAGAGGGCAUGCUUUACAUGCACAAGGUCCUGGGUUCAAUCCCCAGCACCUCCA
rnacentral:tRNA from 1 species